CCUUUGUUUUACUACACUGGCUGCUCUGAAAGUAAUGUCUCUCAUUUAUUUCCAUGGAAAACUACAACAGAUGCACUCUAUUUGAUAGAGCAGAUUCUCAGAUGCAAUGUACUGUUUUUCAAUAUAGCCACCACCAUUAGCUGUCCUUUACACCAGCAAUGACCAAGAGCCUGUAUGCCAUGCUUGUAAAAAAAAAAUCUGCAUGGCUGCCCCCAACAGGGCUUGUCUUCCCUGUUGCUGAUUCCACCACUGAAACGCACCACCCACCACCUCACUGUGCUCACAUCCACUGGUUGGUCUCUAUGAAUGUCACUGGGUGCCAUUUUUUCUGUGAGGAACUCAAUGACACACACCUUUGCUUCAUCCACACUUCCAUGUCAUACCCGUUCUCACAGACUGCCCCUCUGCUGCCAUCUCUCAUGUGGCAAUAAACUGUAAUGGAAUAUUGGUGGGAAGAUUUAACUUCUACUGCCAUCCCACCACUAUCCACCUCUGACAUCAUGGAGUGACAUAAUAAAAUAGGAGGCAUUGCUUUGAGAGCAGCUCUUGUACAUUGUAGCUGGGAAAAUGAAUAAUGGCAAUAAAUAAGGUACAUGUAGUGCAAUGCAGUGUAGUGGUUGUCCUCUUGUAUUUACAAUUGAUUAAAGAAAAAAGCCAUCUUCUUGGCAAGCUCAUGGCCUCUGAUGGAUUCAGACUUCACGAUUUUUCUUCAUCAUCAUUAAAUUAGCUUUCUUGGGAUGAGACCUUGUAAAUACAGGAGUCGGUGGCUAUGCCCCAAAAUCAAGCCAUGUUUCUGAGAGUACUGCCCAAACUCUGGCAGCUUUGGGCCUGGGAGCCUAUUCCAGUGCCUGGUGUCCCUCUGGUUAGGAACCUUUCCCUGGUACUCAACCUGACUCUUCCCAGUGCAGAUUUGUGCACUCUCUUAAUUUACUGGAGCUCAGCUGUUUGUGGCAUCCUGUAAUCCUCUGCCAAUGCAGCCCUUAGCAUUUGCAGUCCUGUAUUUUACUUCACGAUCUGUACUUCUGGAUCUCAGAAAAACUUCCUUGCGUUGAUGUUUUCAUGCGUGUUCCUAUGCCCUGACAUCUAACAGCAGCUUUAUAACGGAUUCAGAACGAUGCUUGGGGAGAAUUAACCUUCAUUCCCAGACAAGCUGAGGAUGCCCUGGCACAUUUCUCAGUCUUAUAAAACCUGAGAACAGGUAAAGGGAGGAAAAAAGAAACUUCCUUGCAUUUCUCUAGCUAGGAAAGGGAUAUUACUUGCAGACCUUUUAGUUCUCUGUCCCCUUCCUCUCACCUCAGUCCUCAUCUUUUCUGUAAAUACUGCACUUCUGGCACAAGGGCAGUCGGGGGCUCUGGAGAAAGCAGAAGAGCUCUUAAUUAAAAUGUACUUAAAACCAGCGAAUGAGCAAGGGGCCACCUAUUUCCACUGUGCUGAAAGCAGAAGGGAGGUAUUGAGCCCUAAGAUGCUCUCACUUCCCAAAAUCUCUUCCAGUUUCCAUGCUAGGUAAAGGCUCUUUCUUACAGAUUAUCAGCUAGGCUGAGAAUGGGGGAAAGAACAGAAACCAGGAGAGAGAUGCUGAACUGUCAUACCCCCAGUCUCUGUAAGAAAGCCAAGCAGAGUGAUGCUGUGUAAUAGAACCUCAAAAUCCAGGGCAUCUCCAAGCUCACGUUGUCCCAGAAGUUUGUUGAAUGUUUUGUGUUAACAAACCAAGUCAUUUUGCCUUACAGGAAAGCAACCAAAAUCAUGAGAUGGAUGAAUAAUUGGCAAAGGAUCUCUGUAUGUUUAGCUCAUGGAAAUGAACUUGCAGUAGCAGCCAUACAAAAGUUUUGGUUGUUUUUUUUUUUGUUGUUCUUGUUUUUAAAAGUAAUUUGAUCUCAUGCUUUCUGUAGAAUAUUGUAAUAAUUCUCCUGUAAAUACAAUAAAAAUCACAGUUUGCUGAGAGGGUCUCUGUUUUCUUUUCAGAAAACUCGUAUGAACUUAAGUGAUGUGUGAGUGAGCAGGACAAUUUGUAAUUUUUAUUAAGCAAGGAUAAAAAAUACUUUAACCUUGUGUGGUUGCAUGGGCCUUGGCUGUAAUAGCCCAGUGUAUGAGUAGUGAUUGAACACAAACCUUGUUCUGCCUGACAGCCUGGCUUGCACAUCACAGCAGGCUGAGUAGCUCUGGCAUUGCUUGAGACAUAGGAGCACAGUUGCUGCACUUAAACAUGACUGUAAAUGGGGAUUUUUCUGUGGUUGUUUUUAAGAUGGAUCUGAAAUGUCUCAGCAGAGCCAGGUGAAGAUUAUGACUCACCCAGAAGGACACAAGGCUUAAUGGGCCAAUACUGCAAGCUGUUCUAUACUCUGAAAACUGACCUGGUUUGUAUAGAACCUUGUUCCAAAUUCUCCUGAAGACUGGAAACCAGAGAUUCCAAGAAACAACACGCUGGCUGCUUGGUCACAUACUGGUAAUGAGAAUGAAGCAAAACUGCCACCAUUGGCCACUCAAACCCCACAGCAUGUCUGUCCACAGUCACAGGUACAGACUAUGCCAUGGUAAUACUGAUAGGCAAACUUGGAGUAUAAAACACACUUUAAUUGGAAUGUUUACAUCAAUAAGUUUUUCCUAAUGUUUCAAAAAUAGGAUGCAAAAGUUUUUUUUUUUUUAAAGUCAACAAAUUACAUUUAAGAAAAGUGCUUCAGUUCUGUCCCUGUGCAUGUCACAGCAGGCCAUGCUGCACAGCACGAGAGGCCCACGCUCCCUGCGAAGUACUUGCAUGUGCUGUGCCCUGCGUGCUGCCACAGCUUGCUCUGUAACAGCACUUUGUCAAAGGAAGCAGGCUUGGGAGCAAGGUUAAUACAUAUUGAGUGCCAGAGCACCGAAAAAUUGAAGAGCUGGAAGGGAACCACUUUCCAAAGUGGGUCACAGGUAGGGUGACAACAGUGCUGACCCCAGAGAUCUGAAAGCACUCCCAGCCUCAGCCAGGACCCUGCUCAGUGCCACCAGCACCUGAUGCAGCAGGCGCCCCCCCCCCCCCCCCCCCCCCACUACAGCCAGCACAGCAAUGUGCUCAGGAAGCUGGUAUGGGGAGGGUUUUUUGUUUUUGCUGGAUAUGCGGCUAGUUGUUUAGAACAAGAUUUUAGGUAUCUGGGAAUAAUACAAGACUGGACUGAGGGGGGCAGGAAGCCCUUGUCAGCACAAAAACACAAACCUGGAUAGGCUCAGGGGUGCUAAGCCACACAUUCGCAACAAGAGGAAACAUCCACACUAGAGCAACACUGGACACAUGUAAAAGAGCCACUCAGAUCUCAGCAGAAACACUGAACUAUCAAGUCUAAGUACUUAGCUGACUGGCAAGGACAUUUUAGCAGUAAGGCAGUGAAGAUCCACAUGAAAUCUCUGGGCUGCCAGGGAUGCUGCCCGGUGCAGAACUGACUUUGCUCUUCCUUUAAACCCCAACGCUUCUUCUUCUCCUUCUGCCACUAUACAUUUGUUCACCUGGGGACAAGGAGAAAGCCAAAAGGAGGGUUAUUUGAAGAACUCGUGUAGAAAAAAAAACAAGACAUUAAACAUUAUAACACAACCAUAAAACAACCAAGAAAAGCA
rnacentral:lncRNA from 1 species